UACGUAGGGUGCGAGCGUUAAUCGGAUUUACUGGGCGUAAAGCGUGCGCAGGCGGCCCGUUAAGACAGGUGUGAAAUCCCUGGGCUCAACCUAGGAAUUGCGCUUGUGACUGGCGGGCUCGGGUACGGUAGAGGGGGGUGGAAUUCCUGGUGUAGCAGUGAAAUGCGUAGAGAUCAGGAGGAACACCGAUGGCGAAGGCAGCCCCCUGGGCCUGUACUGACGCUCAUGCACGAAAGCGUGGGGAGCAAACAGG
rnacentral:rRNA from 1 species